rnacentral:rRNA from 1 species
UUGGAGGGCAAGUUUGGUGCCAGCAGCCGCGGUAAUUCCAGCUCCAAUAGCGUAUAUUAAAGUUGUUGUGGUUAAAAAGCUCGUAGUUGAACCUUGGGCCUGGCUGGCCGGUCCGCCUCACCGCGUGCACUGGUCCGGCCGGGCCUUUCCCUCUGCGGAACCCCAUGCCCUUCACUGGGUGUGGCGGGGAAACAGGACUUUUACUUUGAAAAAAUUAGAGUGCUCAAGGCAGGCCUAUGCUCGAAUACAUUAGCAUGGAAUAAUAGAAUAGGACGUGUGG